CUGGCGGCAGGCUUACACAUGCAGUCGAGCGGAGAUGAGGUGCUUGCACCUUAUCUUAGCGGCGGACGGGUGAGUAAUGCUUAGGAAUCUGCCUAUUAGUGGGGGACAACAUUCCGAAAGGAAUGCUAAUACCGCAUACGUCCUACGGGAGAAAGCAGGGGAUCUUCGGACCUUGCGCUAAUAGAUGAGCCUAAGUCGGAUUAGCUAGUUGGUGGGGUAAAGGCCUACCAAGGCGACGAUCUGUAGCGGGUCUGAGAGGAUGAUCCGCCACACUGGGACUGAGACACGGCCCAGACUCCUACGGGAGGCAGCAGUGGGGAAUAUUGGACAAUGGGGGGAACCCUGAUCCAGCCAUGCCGCGUGUGUGAAGAAGGCCUUAUGGUUGUAAAGCACUUUAAGCGAGGAGGAGGCUACUGAGACUAAUACUCUUUGGAUAGUGGACGUUACUCGCAGAAUAAGCACCGGCUAACUCUGUGCCAGCAGCCGCGG
rnacentral:rRNA from 1 species